AUAUAAAGUACAUAGGGCCUAAAUGUACUGAUUAGAAGAUCUAAAUGUCACCAGGAAUGACCCACGGAGUGAAUAAUUUGUUUCCCUAGGAACAUAUGGAAUCCACUGACUUCAGGAAAUAUUUUCAGAGUGCACACAUAUUUCUUCAAGACGUUAACAUCCCAGGGGAGGAGGAGGAAUAAAAACAUGACAGGGAGUAAUUUAAAAUGGCAGGUCUGCUGAGGGUACAGGCAACUUUCCAGGGCAGCUGUCUUCCAUGUGGGAGCUCAGAACCUCAGGCUAAUUCAAUCAUGUGGCAUGUCCAUAACAAGUUCUUCUGGGAUUGCUGCGGCAGUGAAGAAAAUCUGCACGGUCCUAUAGUGAGAUUUCAGAUACAUUCUCUAUUAAAGAACUGUCUUGGGAGCUACAUCAGAUUCCUUGAAUGGAAGCAGUGUGUUCUCCAGCUACCCUAACUGUCCAAGCUGAGGUCCAGAAGAUCAAAGAUGAAACAUCAAGCAGAGCCCUUCUUGGGUACCUGAGCUUCAGAUUAUAAGCAAAGUGAAGUGGUUGUUUUAUGUCACUAUGUAGUUUUGGGGGUAGUUUGUCAAUGUAAGAUUCCUGUCACAUAUGCCAUUCAUUUGAUGUCAUACUCUAAAAUAUUGGAGAUAAACAAAUUCAGGGGAACAGAUGAGAUGCCUGAGGGUAAAGUUUAGAGAAUACAAAAGCCAAGUACUGAGGUUUAGAGAUACCAGUAUUAAUGGUCAAGGGUAAAAUAUCCCAGAUGUUGAGAGGGCAACAAAAUGGUCAGAGAAAUCAGAAUUAAACUUGGAGACACAUUGCCACUGAAGGGCAAGAUAUUAAAAGGAAUAGUUAGGAACAAUGUUUAUGCAUCAGAAAGAGCACAGUCCAAUGAAGACAAUUCAUUUUGUUGAAAUUAAAAUUGGUUUUGUAUAGCGAAGUUUUAUUAUAGUAAAUAGUGAAACUAAAUUGAAGCAAGAAUGAAAUUUGAUUUGGGUAUAUGUUUAACAGUAUAAUGGUAUGUUAGACUAGUAACAACUAUAUGUGAGCCCUCUUAAUAACAAAAGAAACAAAAAUCUAAGGUAUAUUUUAUUAAUAGAAAUUUAUUUUAUAAAUGAUAAAAUUUGUAAAUGAAACGAAUUUAUUUAUUAUAAAAUAUAUGUAUAACUUUACAUAUACAUAUAUAUGUUUUAUAUAUAUGUAUAAAUUUAUCUGAUAAAUUUAAAUUUAUAGAACUUAUAAAGAAAACAUACAAGAAGAAUAAGACUAUUUUAAAGAAAAUAAAAAUUUGAAACUUGGACGUAUGGUUCA
ensembl:lncRNA